rnacentral:lncRNA from 1 species
GGGGGUAUAUAAAUCUGUGCUGAACGGUUGCAGUUGAAUGGCAGGAGCGCGAUGCUCGGCUCCGUCGGUGCCACGGGCACACGCACACCCGAGGGGUGGGGGGAAGGAGAAGAGGGAGGCACAGUCAUCUGACCCCCUUUCCUCCCCCCUUCCCCCCCCCCCAAAAAAAUCCCUUUUGAGCAUCUUGCCAUCAGGAGAGCUGUCACUCACUCGUCAAGGUUUCUGGCCAGCAGCACAGGCUCUCACAGCCCCCCGUUCACCGGGAGACAUCAUGCACAGAGGCUUUAACUGUGCAAGAGCUGUGCGUGCAGGCAGAAGAAAGACAUGCCCUACCACGCUGCAGGACUGAGCAGGACAGGCUGGAGACAGGACAACCCUCACUUCAUCAGUGAGUGCUUAGAAAGUGAACUUCAAAAGCAAACUUAGAAAUUCGGCUUAGAAACACAAAUUUUCACUUUGAGUGAGUGGCCAGGGCAGCCCUCCCUGGCCCCAGGUGACAGAGAUUGGCCAUAGUGCAAAUCAGCUGGCAUGCAGAAGGGGAAGGGAACCAGCCCACACCUCAUCUUUACUAAGGUUUUCCCCUGUUUUGUCUGUAGGGCAUGCUGAGGACUGGAGCACAAGCUCAGCUUGCUUUAGACAACACCCCAGUACAGCUGUACUGGAGGAACUGAAGGUUUCCCAGUUCUUCGGGCCCUGUAGCUCCCACCUGCCCRAGAUUUCCUCACCCCACUGAGCCCAGUGAGAAGCAGUAGGUCCUAGCAAGUUGCUUUAUGGUUCAGAUGUCAUGGACCAUCACGUGCAAGAUCAACCUGGCUAAAUUUUAGUAAGUCUAGUGCAUCUGCAAUGCCCCAGGGCACCCUGCCUGUGCACCUGUAUGGAMGUGCUCACCUCUCGUGCACCCUCCUACCUCGCAGGAUGGAGACCUGGCUGCCCACCUCCACCAUCAGCCUGUCCCCCCAUUGGUGUGGGGCUCUGCCCCCUAACCCCGCCCCUCAUGCACAGUGAUACAAGGAACCAGCAGCACCAAGGAUGGAUCUGCUCCUGGGACGAUGSCACCCAACCCCGCCGGCCUCUCUGGAGGAACGAGGAGACACUACCUGCCACCUCACCAACCUGCUCCGUCCCRGGAACGGUCGCAGAAUGUGUUUCCCACUGGGCUAAUUAUUGCUAAUUGUGCCACUUUGCUAUCUCGCCAGCCUCACCCUGCAUAGGGCUGAUAGGGAUAUCUGUGAGAUAAGGAGCAUGCAGAUAGCCCAGGUAACUGGUCAAUGCUGUCGAACUGGUGGGGUGAACUGCUCUCUGGAGGGGUUUUAUCUCUUGCCGCUGACUGUGAAGAGCUCCUGAGGCACCAACCUCCUAAGGACGAUACUGCUGUACCAAGGCUAGGCAGAGUGGAGCUGGGCAUGCUCCUUGGAGCCCUUUAGAAGACUAUAAGGGAUUCUGGUGACUUGGUAUUUGCAAGCAAUAAAGAAAUAYGCUGGCAUUCA